rnacentral:rRNA from 1 species
UACAGAGGGUGCAAGCGUUGUUCGGAAUUAUUGGGCGUAAAGGGCGCGUAGGCGGUGCCACAAGUCACCUGUGAAAUCUCCGGGCUUAACUCGGAGCCUGCAGGCGAAACUGUGGUGCUGGAGUGUGGGAGAGGGAUGCGGAAUUCCAGGUGUAGCGGUGAAAUGCGUAGAUAUCUGGAGGAACACCGGUGGCGAAGGCGGCAUCCUGGACCAAUUCUGACGCUGAGGAGCGAAAGCCAGGGGAGCAAACGGG